GUGUGUGUUUGCAUGUGUGUGUAAGGGAUGCAUAGUGUGUAUAUGUGCAAAGGAUGCAUUGUCUUUAUGUGUAAGGGUUGCAUUGUGUGUUUCUCUCUGUGUAAGGGAAGCAUGUUGUGUUUCUGUGUGUAUAGGGAUGCAUUGUGUGUGUGUGUGCGUGUGGUGUGAAAGAGCUCCCUGUCCUGCCCCCUGUCCUAUAGAGCUCUCCC